GGGGAUGUAGCUCAGCGGUAGAGUACCUGCCUUGCAUGCACAAGGCGUAGGUUCCAUCACCA
rnacentral:tRNA from 1 species